rnacentral:rRNA from 1 species
AUUGAACGCUGGCGGCAUGCCUUACACAUGCAAGUCGAACGGUAACAGGUCUUCGGAUGCUGACGAGUGGCGAACGGGUGAGUAAUACAUCGGAACGUGCCCGAGAGUGGGGGAUAACGAGGCGAAAGCUUUGCUAAUACCGCAUACGAUCCCAGGAUGAAAGCAGGGGACCGCAAGGCCUUGCCCCCACGGAGCGGCCGAGGGCAGAUUAGGAAGUUGGGGGGAUAAAAGCUUACCAAGCGGACGAUCUGUAGCUGGUCUGAGAGGACGACCAGCCACACUGGGACUGAGACACGGCCCAGACUCCUACGGGAGGCAGCAGUGGGGAAUUUUGGACAAUGGGCGCAAGCCUGAUCCAGCCAUGCCGCGUGCAGGAUGAAGGCCUUCGGGUUGUAAACUGCUUUUGUACGGAACGAAAAGACUCCUUCUAAUAAAGGGGGUUCAUGACGGUACCGUAAGAAUAAGCACCGGCUAACUACGUGCCAGCCGCCGCCGUAAAAC